GAGCUCCAUGUGGUGGAACUCUGACUCAGUCACGAGGGGAAUUUUUCAGCCCCAAUUAUCCCAAUAAUUAUCCCAAUAAUGCAAACUGCACAUGGAGCCUGCUGGCUGGAGAACUGCAGGUGGUUUCAUUAAACUUCACGUUCGUCGCUUUGGAGUCAUGCUGUGACUUUAUCCGCGUGUACAACGGUCCGACUGCUCAGCAUUCACUUUUGGGUUCUGUGACUGGAAAUCAGAGAGCUACCUUCAACUCCAGCAGCAGAUACAUGACCGUCGUUUUCUCCAGUGACUACAGCGUGACUCCACAAGGUUUUCGGGCUGAAUGGGCUUUCAAAAAUUACAUUAGCUGCAGGGAUCACUGUGGUUAUAAUGGUACGCUCUGUUCCUGCACCAGCUCUUGUCAGUCCUAUGGAAACUGCUGCAAUGACUAUUACGAUUAUUGUUUCCCCACCACCACAACCACCACCACCACCACCACAAGAACAACACGAGGUAAAAAUGUAGUUCUCUUUAACCGGUGUAUUCUCAGUAAAACUGCUCUGUCUCCUCCAUUAUUUCUCUUUAUUUGGAUCUAGAAAUCGUUUCUGUUUCUCCAUUCUAGACCUUCUUCCAUUCUUUAGUUUCCUAUUUACUUAAACGUCCCUAACUGAAUAUUUUCUCACUCUGUUUAA